rnacentral:rRNA from 1 species
GGAAGUAAAAGUCGUAACAAGGUCUCCGUAGGUGAACCUGCGGAGGGAUCAUUACACAAUAACCAGGCGGGCCGGACACCCCCCGCUGGGCACUGCUUCACGGCGUGCGCGGCGGGGCCGGCCCUGCUGAAUUAUUCACCCGUGUCUUUUGCGUACUUCUUGUUUCCUGGGUGGGCUCGCCCGCCCUCAGGACCAACCACAAACCUUUUGCAAUAGCAAUCAGCGUCAGUAACAACGUAAUUAAUCACAACUUUCAACAACGGAUCUCUUGGUUCUGGCAUCGAUGAAGAACGCAGCGAAAUGCGAUACGUAGUGUGAAUUGCAGAAUUCAGUGAAUCAUCGAAUCUUUGAACGCACAUUGCGCCCUUUGGUAUUCCAAAGGGCAUGCCUGUUCGAGCGUCAUUUGUACCCUCAAGCUUUGCUUGGUGUUGGGCGUCUUUUGUCUCCAGUUCGCUGGAGACUCGCCUUAAAGUCAUUGGCAGCCGGCCUACUGGUUUCGGAGCGCAGCACAAGUCGCGCUCUUUGCCAGCCAAGGUCAGCGUCCAGCAAGCCUUUUUUUCAACCUUUGACCUCGGAUCAGGUAGGGAUACCCGCUGAACUUAAGCAUAUCAAUAAGCGGAGG